rnacentral:sRNA from 1 species
AAUACUAUCUCCUUCUU